GACGAACCGAGCGAACGUUGUUCGGAAUCACUGGGCUUAAAGGGCGCGUAGGCGGGUGCUCAAGUCCGGGGUGAAAUCCUCCAGCUCAACUGGAGAACUGCCUCGGAUACUGGGCGUCUCGAGUGUGGUAGGGGUGUGCGGAACUAUCGGUGGAGCGGUGAAAUGCGUUGAUAUCGAUAGGAACUCCGGUGGCGAAGGCGGCUUUCUGGCCUGUUCUUGACGCUGAGGCGCGAAAGCUAGGGGAGCAAACGGG
rnacentral:rRNA from 1 species